AGCCUCUCAGUCAUUUACAUGAGGGUAAAGUUGUAAACCACUCUAAAACAGCUUGUGUAAAAAUAUCUCUCUUCGCUUUUACUACCCUCAUCUUGGAUGCUGUUAAGGAAGAUUUUGAGAAGUGACAAAUGGAUCUGCAGAAAAGCAAGAGGCUUGGAACUUGGUAAAACGCCAAUCAACUGAGAUGGAGACAAGAGUUCCAAUGGAAUCUUGAAGGGAGCAGUUAGGGAAGCCCAACUGCUUGAACUUCACUUCCUUCUCUGGCUGUUGGAAGAAAAACUCAAUCUUUGGUCAUUGAUUAUCCAUAUGACUGAGUGCUGAAAAGACUUUUGGAUUUAGUUCAGAAGAAAACCCAUCAGCCUUUGCUGUUAACAUCUCCCCUUAGGGAAGAUAAUGCUAUUUCCUGAAUUUGAAUACAUCUUACAAUCAUCAAACAACGGGGAUAACUUAUAAAAUUAGGGAGACCUAUUUUCCUCUCACCCCUUCCCCUCACCUUACCACCUCUAUUUAAAAGAAUAAAGGACCUCUUAGUUGAAAGAUUAAAUUAUGAAAGUUAGUUAUUAGAGGAAAUCUUCAAACUUACUAUUUCUGAGAAGAACAUUCAAGAUAGUUGCAGGGGACCGAACAGAAAGUAGGGUUGGGGGAGGAGCACAGGAUCCAGUCUUUCCCCUAGUUGGCUUCCUGGUGUUAUGGCUUUAGCAUUUCCUAUUACCAUAAUUUCCCUAAUAGUGGUAUCUACUACAAUGACCUCCAUGCAUUUGGAGAUUCUGCCUGGCCCUUUCUGAACUGAGCUUAUUGGAUUUAGCCAAGCCUUCUAAGAUUAUACAUGAAACCACUGGACCAAACUUUACUUGGACAGACACAUUGAAGGGAUCUAUGGAACAUGAGAAUUUUCAAUCAGAUUGGGUAUUAGGACAAUCAGAGACCCCAACUUCUGGGAGCCAGAGGAAGCCUGUACACCACAUAUCUGUUUCAGAUCUCAGCCUCUAAGUAUUCAGGACAACUAAUAUCUACUCCAAAAGAUAUAUGGGAGAUAACCAAGUUGGCCUUCCUGGAAUUUUUAUGAUCAUCUCAGUUGGUGGUCUGCCUUCUCUUCAGCCUAUGAGUUAAAAUCAACCCCUGAAAAAGAAUCUUAAAAUAUUC
rnacentral:lncRNA from 1 species